AGGGUUUGAUCCUGGCUCAGAACGAACGCUGGCGGCAGGCUUAACACAUGCAAGUCGAACGAUCCUUUUAUAGGAUAGUGGCAGACGGGUGAGUAACGCGUGGGAAUCUACCCGGAUCUACGGAAUAACAUAGAGAAAUUUGUGCUAAUACCGUAUACGCCCCUUUUUAGUGGAUAUUAAGGGGGAAAGAUUUAUCGGAUCCGGAUGAGCCCGCGUUGGAUUAGCUAGUUGGUGGGGUAAUGGCCCACCAAGGCAACGAUCCAUAGCUGGUCUGAGAGGAUGAUCAGCCACACUGGGACUGAGACACGGCCCAGACUCCUACGGGAGGCAGCAGUGGGGAAUAUUGGACAAUGGGCGCAAGCCUGAUCCAGCCAUGCCGCGUGAGUGAAGAAGGCCCUAGGGUUGUAAAGCUCUUUCAACGGUGAAGAUAAUGACGGUAUCCGUAGAAGAAGCCCCGGCUAACUUCGUGCCAGCAGCCGCGGUAAUACGAAGGGGGCUAGCGUUGUUCGGAAUUACUGGGCGUAAAGCGUAUGUAGGCGGACUGAUCAGUCAGGGGUGAAAUCCCGGGGCUCAACCCCGGAACUGCCCUUGAUACUGUCAGUCUUGAGAUCGAGAGAGGUGAGUGGAAUUCCGAGUGUANAGGUGAAAUUCGUAGAUAUUCGGAGGAACACCAGUGGCGAAGGCGGCUCACUGGCUCGAUACUUGACGCUGA
rnacentral:rRNA from 1 species